GGGACACGUGGUAUCCUGUCUGAAUAUGGGGGGACCAUCCUCCAAGGCUAAAUACUCCUGACUGACCGAUAGUGAACCAGUACCGUGAGGGAAAGGCGAAAAGAACCCCGGCGAGGGGAGUGAAAAAGAACCUGAAACCGUGUACGUACAAGCAGUGGGAGCCUCUUUAUGGGGUGACUGCGUACCUUUUGUAUAAUGGGUCAGCGACUUAUAUUCUGUAGCAAGGUUAACCGAAUAGGGGAGCCGAAGGGAAACCGAGUCUUAACUGGGCGUUAAGUUGCAGGGUAUAGACCCGAAACCCGGUGAUCUAGCCAUGGGCAGGUUGAAGGUUGGGUAACACUAACUGGAGGACCGAACCGACUAAUGUUGAAAAAUUAGCGGAUGACUUGUGGCUGGGGGUGAAAGGCCAAUCAAACCGGGAGAUAGCUGGUUCUCCCCGAAAGCUAUUUAGGUAGCGCCUCGUGAAUUCAUCUCCGGGGGUAGAGCACUGUUUCGGCAAGGGGGUCAUCCCGACUUACCAACCCGAUGCAAACUGCGAAUACCGGAGAAUGUUAUCACGGGAGACACACGGCGGGUGCUAACGUCCGUCGUGAAGAGGGAAACAACCCAGACCGCCAGCUAAGGUCCCAAAGUCAUGGUUAAGUGGGAAACGAUGUGGGAAGGCCCAGACAGCCAGGAUGUUGGCUUAGAAGCAGCCAUCAUUUAAAGAAAGCGUAAUAGCUCACUGGUCGAGUCGGCCUGCGCGGAAGAUGUAACGGGGCUAAACCAUGCACCGAAGCUGCGGCAGCGACACUAUGUGUUGUUGGGUAGGGGAGCGUUCUGUAAGCCUGUGAAGGUGUGCUGUGAGGUAUGCUGGAGGUAUCAGAAGUGCGAAUGCUGACAUAAGUAACGAUAAAGCGGGUGAAAAGCCCGCUCGCCGGAAGACCAAGGGUUCCUGUCCAACGUUAAUCGGGGCAGGGUGAGUCGACCCCUAAGGCGAGGCCGAAAGGCGUAGUCGAUGGGAAACAGGUUAAUAUUCCUGUACUUGGUGUUACUGCGAAGGGGGGACGGAGAAGGCUAUGUUGGCCGGGCGACGGUUGUCCCGGUUUAAGCGUGUAGGCUGGUUUUCCAGGCAAAUCCGGAAAAUCAAGGCUGAGGCGUGAUGACGAGGCACUACGGUGCUGAAGCAACAAAUGCCCUGCUUCCAGGAAAAGCCUCUAAGCAUCAGGUAACAUCAAAUCGUACCCCAAACCGACACAGGUGGUCAGGUAGAGAAUACCAAGGCGCUUGAGAGAACUCGGGUGAAGGAACUAGGCAAAAUGGUGCCGUAACUUCGGGAGAAGGCACGCUGAUAUGUAGGUGAAGUCCCUUGCGGAUGGAGCUGAAAUCAGUCGAAGAUACCAGCUGGCUGCAACUGUUUAUUAAAAACACAGCACUGUGCAAACACGAAAGUGGACGUAUACGGUGUGACGCCUGCCCGGUGCCGGAAGGUUAAUUGAUGGGGUUAGCGGUAACGCGAAGCUCUUGAUCGAAGCCCCGGUAAACGGCGGCCGUAACUAUAACGGUCCUAAGGUAGCGAAAUUCCUUGUCGGGUAAGUUCCGACCUGCACGAAUGGCGUAAUGAUGGCCAGGCUGUCUCCACCCGAGACUCAGUGAAAUUGAACUCGCUGUGAAGAUGCAGUGUACCCGCGGCAAGACGGAAAGACCCCGUGAACCUUUACUAUAGCUUGACACUGAACAUUGAGCCUUG
rnacentral:rRNA from 1 species